rnacentral:rRNA from 1 species
GAUGAACGCUGGCGGCGUGCCUAAUACAUGCAAGUCGAGCGAACAGACGAGGAGCUUGCUCCUCUGACGUUAGCGGCGGACGGGUGAGUAACACGUGGAUAACCUACCUAUAAGACUGGGAUAACUUCGGGAAACCGGAGCUAAUACCGGAUAAUAUAUUGAACCGCAUGGUUCAAUAGUGAAAGACGGUUUUGCUGUCACUUAUAGAUGGAUCCGCGCCGCAUUAGCUAGUUGGUAAGGUAACGGCUUACCAAGGCAACGAUGCGUAGCCGACCUGAGAGGGUGAUCGGCCACACGGGAACUGAGACGCGGUCAAGACUCCUACGGGAGGCAGCAGUAGGGAAUCUGCCGCAAUGGGCGAAAGCCUGACGGAGCAACGCCGCGUGAGUGAUGAAGGUCUUCGGAUCGUAAAAAUCUGUUAUUAGGGAAGAACAAAUGUGUAAGUAACUAUGCACGGCUUGACGGUAACUAAUCAGAAAGCCACGGCUAACUACGUG